UCACCACGAUAACUUACAAGCAACUCACUGUACUUUGAUACCAGACUACCUGCAUUUCUAAUUCAGUGAUGAAAGAUUUUUGGGUACAGUCAAGUACUUGAAAAGUCGAUGUAUAAGUCAAGAUGGAAUUGACCCCUUCGAAUAAGUAAGAGUUAAUGUAUCAGUGUGUUUCAAUUCAGUAAAAUCUCGAUCGGGAUAAUCUAUAUGAUGGAUUUUGAAAAUUGAAAUACAAUAUAGAUAACUAUAUUAGGAUUGACAGUUAAAUCGUAGAUCACCUUGAGC
rnacentral:lncRNA from 1 species